GGACCCGCACAAGCGGUGGAUGAUGUGGAUUAAUUCGAUGCAACGCGAAAAACCUUACCUACCCUUGACAUGUCUGGAAUGCCGAAGAGAUUUGGCAGUGCUCGCAAGAGAACCGGAACACAGGUGCUGCAUGGCUGUCGUCAGCUCGUGUCGUGAGAUGUUGGGUUAAGUCCCGCAACGAGCGCAACCCUUGUCAUUAGUUGCUACGAAAGGGCACUCUAAUGAGACUGCCGGUGACAAACCGGAGGAAGGUGGGGAUGACGUCAAGUCCUCAUGGCCCUUAUGGGUAGGGCUUCACACGUCAUACAAUGGUCGGGACAGAGGGUCGCCAACCCGCGAGGGGGAGCCAAUCCCAGAAACCCGAUCGUAGUCCGGAUCGCAGUCUGCAACUCGACUGCGUGAAGUCGGAAUCGCUAGUAAUCGCGGAUCAGCAUGUCGCGGUGAAUACGUUCCCGGGUCUUGUACACACCGCCCGUCACACCAUGGGAGUGGGUUUUACCAGAAGUAGUUAGCCUAACCGC
rnacentral:rRNA from 1 species